GAAAUAAUUAGUAGCUAUUUACGGCUCAUAGUUUCAAAUUAAGGUUAAAUCACUCUGACAGUAUUGCUAAUAUAUAUAAACAAUAUUUUAUAUUUUAGAAGGCUUAGAAGUCAAAUUGUCCAGAAGGAAGGACUGCAAACUUUUCAAGAACAUAAUUCUGGGAAUGAAUAAGGAAGCUGUUGGUAAAAUGGGAUCUUUUGGAGCAUUGUACAACAUGAAGAAAACAACACAAUAUGGAACAACUUCGUAGAACAGCCUGAUCUUGACACUAUAAUGUUCCAGUUCUGUAAAAUCAUGUGCUUGCUUUAGGGUUCGCUUAAGGAAAACUCAAUUGAAAAAAUUCACAAAACAAUGCAAAAUUAGAAGCAUGAGAAAGAAUUUGUGAUUAGAUCCUGUGUGCUUCAGGACUGCAAAUGGAGUCCCCUGUCUUUAUUUAUGUUGAGAUUGAAGUCUCUAUGAGCCCCCUGACUGUGGAAGAAACAGUUGUUGGACAGCUGGAUGAUUUCCAGCAAAGGAGAAGGCAUGAACCUGGAGUUACUACCACAUUCCAAGGACCUUCUACAGCCAUCUUCAAGAAGAAGCGAACAAACAAUUCAUUAGCCUGUGGUUCUAGUAUCCUUAACUGUUUCAACAUCAUCGACUUCCACAAGGAACUAUGGCUAUACAGUUCAGUCAUGGAGCUUGUUCAUAAAGACAGUCCCUAACAUGGGUUACAAUGAUAUGACUGCUGAGGUAUCCACAAAAACGAAGUGAGUAUCCUUGGCUAAUUUGUGUCCUGGAAGCAUGAGACAUUAAUUGAACUAUGGAAAUACGAAUCCAAGCAUUUUAUGGCUCACCCUUAACUUAUCAAAGUGAUAAGAUUUCUGAAGAGGUGUGAAAAUGUAUUGGAAAGUAUUUAGAUAUUUUAU
rnacentral:lncRNA from 1 species